CACGUAGGCGGAUCGGUAAGUCAGAUGUGAAAUCCCGGAGCUCAACUCCGGAACUGCAUUUGAUACUGCCAGUCUUGAGUGAGGUAGAGGGGGGUGGAAUUCCCGGUGUAGAGGUGAAAUUCGUAGAUAUCGGGAGGAACACCAGAGGCGAAGGCGACCCCCUGGGCCUUUAUUGACGCUGAGGUGCGAAAGCGUGGGGAGCAAACA
rnacentral:rRNA from 1 species